rnacentral:rRNA from 14 species
GAAACUGCGAAUGGCUCAUUAAAACAGUUAUAGUUUAUUUGAUAAUGGAAAGCUACAUGGAUAACCGUGGUAAUUCUAGAGCUAAUACAUGCUGUCAAACCCGACUUUUUGGAAGGGUUGUAUUUAUUAGAUAUUAAGCCAAUAUUCCUUGUGUCUAUUGUGGUGAAUCAUAGUAACUGAUCGAAUCCCUUUUUGUGGAUAAAUCAUUCAAGUUUCUGCCCUAUCAGCUUUCGAUGGUAGUGUAUUGGACUACCAUGGCAGUCACGGGUAACGGAGAAUUAGGGUUCGGUUCCGGAGAGGGAGCCUGAGAAACGGCUACCACAUCUAAGGAAGGCAGCAGGCGCGUAAAUUACCCAAUCCUGAUUCAGGGAGGUAGUGACAAGAAAUAACAACGCUAGGACUUUGUCCUGCGAUUGGAAUGAGUACAACGUAAAAUCCUUAACGAGUACCCACUGGAGGGCAAGUCUGGUGCCAGCAGCCGCGGUAAUUCCAGCUCCAGUAGCGUAUAUUAAA